UUCAAUUGAAAUUAUUGAAUCAAUUCAAAAUAUCCAAUUCCAAUUCCAUUUUCAUUUUUCAACCGCUCGCUCUUUGGCCUCCGUGAAUCGUGGCUCCGCCUGUCAACAGCCUACCCUGGUGCCGCCGCCACUCAAAGCCUCAGCCUCAACCAGUCAACCUUCUCCUCCCCCGAUCUUGCUUUGUAAGAGCCUCUGUCUAAAGUUCUGAUUCGUAACCUCAUUCCAGUCUGUAACCUCCGGCAACAAUCAACAACCAGCAUAGCAGAAGAAGAAGGUCUGAUUCCUCUCAUUAACUCAUUUUGAAGCUUUUUUUUUUGUUAUUCUGAUUUGUGUGAUUUGGCUUUUUUGUUUUUUUUUAAAAUAUGGAAUUAGCAGCUCUUCAAUUGCUCGAACACUGGAAGCGGCACUACCACUGCCUACACUGUGAGUUACUUACUCUCUGUCACUAGAAUUUUGAAAUAGUAUAUAUUGCCUUGUGAAUGAAAUUGUGAAUAUGUGAAUUGAUGAAUGUGUUGGCUUGUUGCCUUGUGAAUUGUGAAAUGUGAACUGCUUAUAGUAUUGGUAUUGCUAGGUAAAUGGAAUUGUCUUGUGAAUUGC
rnacentral:lncRNA from 1 species